GGCGCACGGUGGUUAGUGGUUAGGACGUUCACCUCACACCUCCAGGGUCGGGGGUUCGAUUCCCAUCGUGGCCC